rnacentral:rRNA from 1 species
ACUCUGUUGUUAAAGAAGAACAUUUCUGAGAGUAACUGUUCAGGUAUUGACGGUAUUUAACCAGAAAGCCACGGCUAAUUACGUGCCAGCAGCCGCGGUAAUACGUAGGUGGCCAGCGUUGUCCGGAUUUAUUGGGCGUAAAGCGAGCGCAGGCGGUUUUUUAAGUCUGAUGUGAAAGCCUUCGGCUCAACCGAAGAAGUGCAUCGGAAACUGGGAAACUUGAGUGCAGAAGAGGACAGUGGAACUCCAUGUGUAGCGGUGAAAUGCGUAGAUAUAUGGAAGAACACCAGUGGCGAAGGCGGCUGUCUGGUCUGUAACUGACGCUGAGGCUCGAAAGUAUGGGUAGCAAACAGGAUUAGAUACCCUGGUAGUCCAUACCGUAAACGAUGAAUGCUAAGUGUUGGAGGGUUUCCGCCCUUCAGUGCUGCAGCUAACGCAUUAAGCAUUCCGCCUGGGGAGUACGGCCGCAAGGCUGAAACUCAAAGGAAUUGACGGGGGCCCGCACAAGCGGUGGAGCAUGUGGUUUAAUUCGAAGCUACGCGAAGAACCUUACCAGGUCUUGACAUACUAUGCAAAUCUAAGAGAUUAGACGUUCCCUUCGGGGACAUGGAUACAGGUGGUGCAUGGUUGUCGUCAGCUCGUGUCGUGAGAUGUUGGGUUAAGUCCCGCAACGAGCGCAACCCUUAUUAUCAGUUGCCAGCAUUAAGUUGGGCACUCUGGUGAGACUGCCGGUGACAAACCGGAGGAAGGUGGGGAUGACGUCAAAUCAUCAUGCCCCUUAUGACCUGGGCUACACACGUGCUACAAUGGAUGGUACAACGAGUUGCGAACUCGCGAGAGUAAGCUAAUCUCUUAAAGCCAUUCUCAGUUCGGAUUGUAGGCUGCAACUCGCCUACAUGAAGUCGGAAUCGCUAGUAAUCGCGGAUCAGCAUGCCGCGGUGAAUACGUUCCCGGGCCUUGUACACACCGCCCGUCACACCAUGAGAGUUUGUAACACCCAAAGUCGGUGGGGUAACCUUUAGGAACCAGCCGCUAAGUGACAGAGAUGGA